AUUUAUCUAUGGGCUUUGCAAUGAAUGGUACCACAUUCCAGUUAGGAGUUAAAUGAUUAAAGUGAUAAAAGGAUCAAGCAGUUUCAAAAAUAGUAUUUGAAUAUUGAUUUCUUCAAAAAAUUGUUUUACUGUCGUAUUACAAUGUUUGAAGCUGUGUCACCAUGCAGAAAAAUUGUGUGGAAUUUAAAUCAAAUGAUACUAAUUCGAGCUGGAUUCUCAUCUAAGAAAUAUAUUCAUUGACUACCAGUAACACAUACUUUUAAUUCAGCAGGAACUAUAGUAAUAUAUACUAAUAUAUUACUAUAAUAAUAAUUACAAGAACUAUUUUGUACAUAUAGUGAGCACAAAAUGACAUAUAAGGCAAAGACUGGCUGAGAUGCUUAUUUUUAAGAAAACAGUUUAUAAAUAAUUGUUUGGUCCUCUUCAGGACAUCAGUUCAUGACGCAUGAGCUCAAAGGGAACAAAUCAUACAUCCUCUAACCAACCUUUGCUUGGUUCAGAAUAGGA